rnacentral:misc_RNA from 1 species
GAUGAAGAACGUAGCGAAAUGCGAUAAGUAAUGUGAAUUGCAGAAUUCAGUGAAUCAUCGAAUCUUUGAACGCACCUUGCGCUCCUUGGUAUUCCGAGGAGCAUGCCUGUUGAGUGUCAUUAAAUUCUCAACCUCACCCGUUUUCUGAACGGGUCGAGGCUUGGAUGUGGGGGUUUGUGCAGGCUGCCUCACUGGCGGUCUGCUCCCCUGAAAUGCAUUAGCGAGGUUCAUGCUGAACUUCCGUCUAUUGGUGUGAUAAUUAUCUACGCCGUGGACGAGGAUCAGACUCGCUUCUAACUGUCCGCGAGGACAAUACCUUGACAAUUUGACCUCAAAUCAGGUAGGACUACCCGCUGAACUUAAGCAUAUCAAUAAGCGGAGGA